rnacentral:rRNA from 1 species
AUUGAACGCUGGCGGCAUGCCUUACACAUGCAAGUCGAACGGCAGCACGGACUUCGGUCUGGUGGCGAGUGGCGAACGGGUGAGUAAUGUAUCGGAACGUACCUUUCAGUGGGGGAUAACGUAGCGAAAGUUACGCUAAUACCGCAUAUUCUGUGAGCAGGAAAGCAGGGGAUCGAAAGACCUUGCGCUGAUUGAGCGGCCGAUAUCAGAUUAGCUAGUUGGUGGGGUAAAGGCCUACCAAGGCGACGAUCUGUAGCGGGUCUGAGAGGAUGAUCCGCCACACUGGAACUGAGACACGGUCCAGACUCCUACGGGAGGCAGCAGUGGGGAAUUUUGGACAAUGGGGGCAACCCUGAUCCAGCCAUGCCGCGUGAGUGAAGAAGGCCUUCGGGUUGUAAAGCUCUUUCGGCCGGGAAGAAAUCGCAUAGGCUAAUACCCUGUGUGGAUGGCGGUACCGGAAUAAGAAGCACCGGCUAACUACGUG